rnacentral:rRNA from 1 species
GACGAACGCUGGCGGCGUGCCUAAUACAUGCAAGUAGAACGCUGAAGAGAGGAGCUUGCUCUUCUUGGAUGAGUUGCGAACGGGUGAGUAACGCGUAGGUAACCUGCCUUGUAGCGGGGGAUAACUAUUGGAAACGAUAGCUAAUACCGCAUAACAAUGAAUGACUCAUGUCAUUUAUUUGAAAGGGGCAAUUGCUCCACUACAAGAUGGACCUGCGUUGUAUUAGCUAGUAGGUGAGGUAACGGCUCACCUAGGCGACGAUACAUAGCCGACCUGAGAGGGUGAUCGGCCACACUGGGACUGAGACACGGCCCAGACUCCUACGGGAGGCAGCAGUAGGGAAUCUUCGGCAAUGGGGGCAACCCUGACCGAGCAACGCCGCGUGAGUGAAGAAGGUUUUCGGAUCGUAAAGCUCUGUUGUAAGUCAAGAACGAGUGUGAGAGUGGAAAAUUCACACUGUGACGGUAGCUUACCAGAAAGGACGGCUAA